CCAGAUUCGUAUAUGAUCCCAAAGCAGUGCUAAAAGCUUUCGACGAAUCAAAAGCCGGUGUUAAAGGACUCGUAGAUGCCAGAGUAGUCAAAAUCCCCAAAAUCUUCAUCAGACCAUCCAACGAUCCUCCCGACACACCCAACUCUUGCCUUACAAAUUUGCAAGUUCCGAUCAUAGAUCUGGGCGGCAUGGACUGCGGUGAUCGGCGCGAUGAGAUUGUGGAUGAAAUGUGCAUAGCGUCAGAGGAAUGGUGGAAUACCUUCCGGUGUGUUGAGUGGAUCGUGAAUUUAACGAACAAGAUUCGGAGGCGAAGAAAGGGUUCUACGUGCGUGAUCGGAAUAGAAAAGUUGUAUCACAUGGCAAGUUCAAAAGUGUCGACCACAGAGUGGUGUCUAACCGCGUUGGACCAAGAAUGUCUAUCGCUUUUUUCUCUCAGGUGUUUCAGUGCCACCAAAGCUCUAUGGUCCUACCAGGAAAAAAAAAAAAAACCGCCUU